GGGCACAUGGUGUAGUUGGUUAUCACGCUCGCUUUGCAUACAGUGUGCGAGUGGUCCUCGGUUCAAUUCCGGGUGUGUCCA